UGGGACUGUGAGAGGGGAGGGCAGGAUUGGUGCCCAGCAUCAGCAACCCGUGCUGGGCGCUGGGCAUCCCUCCUGCUGCUCCCGGCUGUCCCCGCACGGCCUCGCUGUGCUGGAACACUUCCCCCGGCAGCCAGUGCCUUCCUCUGGUGCUUUGGAAGCCCAAACCCUGCCCUGACUCACACACAAAGCUACAGGAUCCACGGCUGGGCCAGACCUUGGAGAGCCUGAGGUGGGUGAAAGGAUAUAAGUGGGUGCAGCACGGAAAACCCGCUCCGACGGCGUCCUGCCGUCCCUUGGAGGAGCUCAGGGCGAAGAGCCGAGGAGCCAGGGAACAGGGAACAGGUUUUCCUGCCCAUCCAGCCCCGCAGGUGGCAUCAGCCAUCGGACAGGGCACGUUUUCCCCGGGACCAGUGUCUCUGGCAGGGAGACGAGCCGGUGUGUCCGGGUGGUGCUGCAGCAAAGGCCGUCGCCCUGCUCGGCGUCACCAGGGCCGGAGCAUCCACACUCCUGUUCCCAAUUCCCAGGUGGAAUAUCUCCCUGGGACACGGGGUGUACAGGGGAUCAUCUGCUCUUUAUCCCACACCGUGGUGUGGGGUGUGCAGGGGGUUUAUCCCACACUAGGGAGGGAGUCUGUGUCCUCCCUGCCCGGAAAAAGGCCCAGGCUGGGUGAGCCCAGGGUGUCCGUGCAGGUUGGAGGGGCAGGAUCAGCACCAGGAAUCACAGGGAUCCGGGACAAGGAAUCUGCUCCUCUGCUGCCUGAACAAAGCAAGACCUGCCGAGAGGGAGAGGGAGGAAGUUGCACCUCAAAUUCCUCCCGUGCUGCAGACUCCAGACACGUCAGGUGGAAGAGGAGCACCAGCCCAGCCAGGGUGUUGAUGCUCCGAAGACCCAACAGUGAGGGGAGAAUGGAGGUGCCUCGGUGUCACUGCCCUGCUCUGGCCGCCCUCGUGCCGUGCCUGCAUCCCGCUGGAUGGUCCUGAUCCUGCCAUGGUUUAACAACAAGGGUGCCUGGAUCUGUCUGUGGAGCCUCCCCACUUCCCAAUUCCAAAAGCCCGAGAGCCCUCAGGCACGGAGGGCCCUCCCUCGCUGCCCGUUCCACAGCACCACCCGAAAACACCUUCCCUGAGCUUCCCAGGAAUACCCGGGGACGGCUCAGCCUUUUGGGGUCACCCCUUAACAGCCUUUCCCCUCUCCCAGCACCAACCACGGGGCUGGAUCCAGCGCUCCAGGGCCCCCACUCAGCCCCGCAUCCCCGGGCACCGCCGGGAGCCAGGGGAGCAGGAGGGAGAGGGACCCAACUCCCAAACCCACAGGCGGCAAAGGAGGAGCACGGAGGCUCCAGGAGGGACCCGGGGGUGGCUGAGAGCCGAGCGCCCUCGGAGCGAUGCUCCCAAAUCCCUCUCUCCCAAAGAACAAAGCUCCAACCUCCCCGCGGAUGCAGAACGAGCGACGAUGAUUUAUUUCUCUUCCCCGGUAGAUAAAUCGGCCUCGGAAAACGGGUUGGUGCUAAAUUACAAUUUGCAUGCGGUAAUAUAUUUAAGCAACUUUCCUUCCA